GGAGCCGUGCCUGAAGUAAAGGGCCACUUUGAUAGAGUGAAUAAUGGGGGUUAAAAUCCCCCCAGCUCCU
rnacentral:tRNA from 1 species